AUUUAGCUUGCGAUCGAAAGUAUAGAGAGUUAUUUAACAUUUUUUUUUGGUUUAGAAGCAUUUGUUGCUAAAUGAAUGUGUCGUUAGCACGGGCCUCAAAUUUGAUACCCGUUGCGCUAGCGUGGGAAAAUUCUGUUCAUGAGCCGGAAGCAACCAUCAAGCCGAAUUCCUCCUAGGGACUACGCAAUACUGCUCCAGCUCACCCUUAGCCUGUCGUCUCUCCCUGCGCCUGAGAACCAAACCCUAGCCCUAACCAAAAUCUCCAACAUUCUAAACCCUAGCUUCUUGUCUUCAUAACCUCAUUUCCUUUGAAAGCUUCCAUUGUCAGCCAUGGACCUGCAGCGAGCUAUGCUGGACGAACUCAUGGGCGCUGAUCGUAAUUUGACGGAAGAAGAGAAAAAAGAGUAUAAGGAGAUUACGUGGGAUUCUAAGGAGGUCUGUCCAUUCUAUAUGGCUCGAUUUUGUCCUCAUGACCUCUUUGUUAACACCAAAAGUGAUCUAGGGCCAUGUGCUAGGAUUCAUGAUCCAAAGUUAAAAGAAAGCUUUGAGAAUUCCCCAAGACACGACAGAUAUCUACUCAAAUUUGAAGCUGAACUUGCUCAGCGUUGUGAGAAAUUGGUGAUGGAUUUGGAUAGAAGAGUUAGGCGUGGACGAGAACGCCUAGUUCAAGGGGAGGAACCUAUGCCACCACCUCCACUGUCAGCUGAAAAGUCUGAACAGUUAUCUGUGGUUGAGGAGAAAAUAAAGAACCUGCUGGUGCAAGUUGAGUCACUUGGUGAAGCUGGAAAGGUGGAUGAAGCUCAAGCUCUUAUGAAAAAGGUGGAUGAACUCAAUGCUGAGAAGGCCUUGAUUCAAUUCCAGAGUGAUAAAUUAUUGAUGGCUCCACAGGAGAAAAAGAUGGCCUUAUGUGAAAUCUGCGGUUCUUUUCUAGUAGCAAAUGAUGCUGCAGAGAGGACUCAGUCUCACGUUGUAGGGAAGCAGCACAUAGGUUAUGGCAUGGUCCGAGACUUCAUCACAGAGUACAAGGCAGCUAAGGAGAAGGCAAAGGAAGAAGAGAGACUAGCUAUGGAGAAAGAAGCUGAAGAACAGAGGAAGAAAAGGGAGAAGGAAUAUGAAAAGAGGAGGUGGAGUGAUUCUGAUGAUAUGGACCAUUAUCAUAAUAGAGAUCAAUACAGGGAGAGGGACCGUAAUCGUGACCGUGAACGUGAUCAUAAAAGGUCACGAAAGUGGACUGGUAGAGGUAGUGGGGGUGGAGGAAAGGGAAUAGAUUGGAGGUCCAGGAGUGGACGAGAUAGUGGCAGAGAUAGGUACCGUGACCGGAGUAGGUCACCCUCCCCUGUUAGACACAGUCACAGGAGAUCCCCUAAAAGUCCAGUUCACCCAUAUUAAAUGGAUUGUGUAGAUAGAUAUCAGAGCUUUUAAAUUACGUGAGCUUUGUUGAGACUAUACCUUCCUUUCAUCAAUAUUGAUAGAGGAGAAAAGGAUUGAGGAUGACCAUGCUUGAUUUUCAUAGUAUGAUUUCAAUGUAGCAUGUUAUCAUGUUGACAAUCUACAAGUUAUGUAUUCUCAUUGUUCCUUGACCUGCUGCCUGAACCCAUUAUUGGGCGGAACACGAAUCAUUGGGGUGAUGCAUGGGUUAUGCAAAUGAACAGGCAGUGAAGACCAAUGGACAUUCUGUUUUUUAGGGUAACAAGUGUAAAAGCUCCGUACUUCAUCUUCAUGCAGAAAUGGAUUUCCUUUUUUUA